UACAGAGGUCCCAAGCGUUGUUCGGAUUCACUGGGCGUAAAGGGUGCGUAGGCGGUCUGACAAGUCUGAUGUGAAAUCUUCGAGCUUAACUCGGAAAUGGCAUUGGAAACUGUCGGACUAGAGGAUUGGAGGGGAGACUGGAAUUCUCGGUGUAGCAGUGAAAUGCGUAGAUAUCGAGAGGAACACCAGUGGCGAAGGCGAGUCUCUAGACAAUUCCUGACGCUGAGGCACGAAAGCUAGGGGAGCAAACAGG
rnacentral:rRNA from 1 species